rnacentral:rRNA from 1 species
UACGAAGGGGGCUAGCGUUGCUCGGAAUCACUGGGCGUAAAGCGCACGUAGGCGGUCUCUUAAGUCGGAGGUGAAAUCCUGGAGCUCAACUCCAGAACUGCCUUCGAUACUGGGAGUCUCGAGUUCGGGAGAGGUGAGUGGAACUGCGAGUGUAGAGGUGAAAUUCGUAGAUAUUAGCAAGAACACCAGUGGCGAAGGCGGCUCACUGGCCCGAUACUGACGCUGAGGUGCGAAAGCGUGGGGAGCAAACAGG